rnacentral:rRNA from 1 species
UCCAGAGGCACACGCCGCGUGAGGGAGGAGGUCUUUGGAUUGUAAACCUCUUUUCUCAAGGAAGAAGUUCUGACGGUACUUGAGGAAUCAGCCUCGGCUAACUCCGUGCCAGCAGCCGCGGUAAUACGGGGGAGGCAAGCGUUAUCCGGAAUUAUUGGGCGUAAAGCGUCCGCAGGUGGUCAGCCAAGUCUGCCGUCAAAUCAGGUUGCUUAACGACCUAAAGGCGGUGGAAACUGGCAGACUAGAGAGCAGUAGGGGUAGCAGGAAUUCCCAGUGUAGCGGUGAAAUGCGUAGAGAUUGGGAAGAACAUCGGUGGCGAAAGCGUGCUACUGGGCUGUAUCUGACACUCAGGGACGAAAGCUAGGGGAGCGAAUGGGAUUAGAUACCCCCUGUAGUCA